rnacentral:rRNA from 1 species
CCUACGGGCGGCAGCAGUGAGGAAUAUUGGUCAAUGGACGAGAGUCUGAACCAGCCAAGUAGCGUGAAGGAUGACUGCCCUAUGGGUUGUAAACUUCUUUUAUAUGGGAAUAAAAUGUUCCACGUGUGGGAUUUUGUAUGUACCAUAUGAAUAAGGAUCGGCUAACUCCGUGCCAGCAGCCGCGGUAAUACGGAGGAUCCGAGCGUUAUCCGGAUUUAUUGGGUUUAAAGGGAGCGUAGGUGGAUUGUUAAGUCAAUUGUGAAAGUUUGCGGCUCAACCGUAAAAUUGCAGUUGAAACUGGCAGUCUUGAGUACAGUAGAGGUGGGCGGAAUUCGUGGUGUAGCGGUGAAAUGCUUAGAUAUCACGAAGAACUCCGAUUGCGAAGGCAGUUCACUGGACUGCAACUGACACUGAGGCUCGAAAGUGUGGGUAUCAAACAGGAUUAGAUACCCCAGUAGUC